rnacentral:lncRNA from 1 species
CAUCUAUUCUUCUUCAAGAUUUUCAAAUUCUACAACUUCAUAAUUGAUAGCAUUAUAUUGGCUAUCAUCUUCUUCAUCCUCGGACACUUCAUCAAUAAAGGUGGACCGGCUUGAACUUGCUACCCCUUUUCCCUUGAACCUUGAACUUGAAGAACUCGCUCUAAGUCCAUAGAUAUUCUCCUCAACUCCAACGGCCAUAGAAACGGUACCC